rnacentral:rRNA from 1 species
UACGGGGGGGGCAAGCGUUGUUCGGAAUUACUGGGCGUAAAGGGCUCGUAGGCGGCCAACUAAGUCGGAUGUGAAAUCCCCAGGCUUAACCUGGGAACUGCAUCCGAUACUGGAUGGCUUGAAUCCGGGAGAGGGAUGCGGAAUUCCAGGUGUAGCGGUGAAAUGCGUAGAUAUCGGGAGGAACACCAGUGGCGAAGGCGACUACCUGGCCUGUUCUUGACGCUGAGGCGCGAAAGCUAGGGGAGCAAACGGG